AGUUUUAUAAUAUAAUAGUGAAUGAUUCCGAAUAUUCAAAACGGAUUGAAAGAAUGAAAGCAGUAAUUAUGUACUGUAUAACGGUUUAAACGUAGGCCGUACAGCACACUGCCCACUGGUCACUGGGCCGAAGGAUAAACCGAAAAUUCACUUCUCUCCAUGACAAGCUUUAAUGUUCAGUCGAUCCGCUACAUUGAAAGAUGAGUACUUGGCUAUUUUUUGGCAGGGGUAACGAAAUAUAUUGGCUGUUCUCUAAGUGUUUCUUAGUGCGUUGGCCAUCGGAAUAUAAUAUAACUAUACAUAAGCUUGAUAGACGUAAGAUAACGAGUUUCACAGGCACAAUCCUAUUUUAAAUACUAUGGUUUUUGGCAGUUUUGCAUCAUAUGUGCAGUAAAAGCCCCAUUUAUCUACUUCCCCAACGUGUAAAACGCGAAAAAACUUUAUUAAUAUGAACAAAAAUUUGUAAUAGUAAACAGUGUAUUUUAUUAUAAAGGAUUUUCGUUUUUCUACUGCUCCGUAUUUCGUAUGCUCCGUGCUCCGUGUGCUCCGUGCUCCGUGUGCUCCGUGCUCCGUGUGCUCCGUGCUCCGUGU